rnacentral:misc_RNA from 1 species
UGCCCCAACACAGCACCAGUGCUCCCUGGGCCCUUGCGCUUCUCUAUCCACAACUGUCGCGCUGCUCUGCAUCAAGAGGCCGUAUCCACGAGGCGCAUGCCGGCAGCCGCCCUUCUUUUCCUACAUGUAGGUGGUCAGACGCGGUGAGGUGUGCACUGCCUCCCACCUUUAUCUGCUUUACGCUCUCGCCUCCUCUAAGGUUGGCUUCUCUCUAUCUCAGUGUGUGUGUGUGUGCGUGUGCGUGUGUUUUUCAUGUGUAAUACCUAGAUUUUCCAGCUCAGCUCAUGGCGGGGAUGAUUGUAGUGGGUGCAGCAGGUUUGCUUGUUCCCUAUGCUGCUGUGUGCCGUGGGUUGCCUGCGUUGUGUGUGUGUGCGCGCGUGGUGGCGCCUCCGUGCUGUGUGCCUGUUUUCCGGAUGACGAGAGGAGAAGCAGCCGUGCGGCGUGCCACCGCUGGUGCUGCUGCUGCUGUGGCUGCGUGGAGUGCUAUGAUGAAAAACGUUUCCUUAACGACGAGCGGACCGACACGCACCCAUGCGGACAGUUCGAAUGUGUACAAAUGUUGAGCCUCCCGCCUCCCGCGCCCGUGCCAUCGCCGCUGCACCGUGCGCCUGCAUGCGUGCGCGUGUGCGGCGGGGGACACUGGACAACGACGUCUCUGUCUAACGGGGUGCGACGCUGCUCUGUCGGCGCACCUCGAUUUCAGGAGAUGGAGAUGACGCGGCUGCGGCGGUGGUGCGCGCUGUGCUCGCUGUCACCGCACCUGUCUCCCCCGCCCUCAAGUGCGCGAGGAGAACCGUAGCCGCUGCAACUCCGCUAGGUGAGAUGCCGCGGGUGAUACUUCUCCAAGAGCUCUGUCGCCACCGCCGCGCAUCCACGUCGCUGGGGCGUGUGCGCCUCUGUGCCUGUGUAUGCGUAUGCAUAUGCAUGUGUGUGUGUGCUUGUGUUUGUGUGCCAGCUGCGCUGCCGCGCAGGAUGAGAGACAUUCAACGGAUCCCAAUCAGAGCACUGUGCACUGAAACCCCGUCCUGAUGCUAAUCCGCAAAACAACGGCUGACGCGGCGACGCAGCCGGCCACGGGCACGUGCUGUGAUGUGCCGCGAGAGGUGGCGCAGCAGCAGCGGGGGAGGGGGAGGGGGGAGGAUGCGGCGGGCACGCGCGAGAGCGGAGCUGAUGCCAAACACUCGUAGUGCGCGUCUGACGCUGCGUGACUGAUACAAGACGACACGGAGCCGGGAAGACAUCCCGCGCCUCUUUGCUGACCACCCCGUGUGACCCCCCUCCAGCGCCUCUUGCCCGCUCAGCUGCCGCGGGCACUCCGCCUGCGUUGUGUGUGUGUGCGCGCGCGGUGGCGUCUCCGUGCUGUGUGCCUGUUUUCCGGAUGACGAGAGGAGAAGCAGCCGUGCGGCGUGCCACCGCUGGUGCUGCUGCUGCUGUGGCUGCGUGGAGUGCUAUGAUGAAAAACGUUUCCUUAACGACGAGCGGACCGACACGCACCCAUGCGGACAGUUCGAAUGUGUACAAAUGUUGAGCCUCCCGCCUCCCGCGCCCGUGCCAUCGCCGCUGCACCGUGCGCCUGCAUGCGUGCGCGUGUGCGGCGGGGGACACUGGACAACGACGUCUCUGUCUAACGGGGUGCGACGCUGCUCUGUCGGCGCACCUCGAUUUCAGGAGAUGGAGAUGACGCGGCUGCGGCGGUGGUGCGCGCUGUGCUCGCUGUCACCGCACCUGUCUCCCCCGCCCUCAAGUGCGCGAGGAGAACCGUAGCCGCUGCAACUCCGCUAGGUGAGAUGCCGCGGGUGAUACUUCUCCAAGAGCUCUGUCGCCACCGCCGCGCAUCCACGUCGCUGGGGCGUGUGCGCCUCUGUGCCUGUGUAUGCGUAUGCAUAUGCAUGUGUGUGUGUGCUUGUGUUUGUGUGCCAGCUGCGCUGCCGCGCAGGAUGAGAGACAUUCAACGGAUCCCAAUCAGAGCACUGUGCACUGAAACCCCGUCCUGAUGCUAAUCCGCAAAACAACGGCUGACGCGGCGACGCAGCCGGCCACGGGCACGUGCUGUGAUGUGCCGCGAGAGGUGGCGCAGCAGCAGCGGGGGAGGGGGAGGGGGGAGGAUGCGGCGGGCACGCGCGAGAGCGGAGCUGAUGCCAAACACUCGUAGUGCGCGUCUGACGCUGCGUGACUGAUACAAGACGACACGGAGCCGGGAAGACAUCCCGCGCCUCUUUGCUGACCACCCCGUGUGACCCCCCUCCAGCGCCUCUUGCCCGCUCAGCUGCCGCGGGCACUCCGCCUGCGUUGUGUGUGUGUGUGGCGCGCGGUGGCGUCUCCGUGCUGUGUGCGUGUUUUCCGGAUGACGAGAGGAGAAGCAGCCGUGCGGCGUGCCACCGCUGGUGCUGCUGCUGCUGUGGCUGCGUGGAGUGCUAUGAUGAAAAACGUUUCCUUAACGACGAGCGGACCGACACGCACCCAUGCGGACAGUUCGAAUGUGUACAAAUGUUGAGCCUCCCGCCUCCCGCGCCCGUGCCAUCGCCGCUGCACCGUGCGCCUGCAUGCGUGCGCGUGUGCGGCGGGGGACACUGGACAACGACGUCUCUGUCUAACGGGGUGCGACGCUGCUCUGUCGGCGCACCUCGAUUUCAGGAGAUGGAGAUGACGCGGCUGCGGCGGUGGUGCGCGCUGUGCUCGCUGUCACCGCACCUGUCUCCCCCGCCCUCAAGUGCGCGAGGAGAACCGUAGCCGCUGCAACUCCGCUAGGUGAGAUGCCGCGGGUGAUACUUCUCCAAGAGCUCUGUCGCCACCGCCGCGCAUCCACGUCGCUGGGGCGUGUGCGCCUCUGUGCCUGUGUAUGCGUAUGCAUAUGCAUGUGUGUGUGUGCUUGUGUUUGUGUGCCAGCUGCGCUGCCGCGCAGGAUGAGAGACAUUCAACGGAUCCCAAUCAGAGCACUGUGCACUGAAACCCCGUCCUGAUGCUAAUCCGCAAAACAACGGCUGACGCGGCGACGCAGCCGGCCACGGGCACGUGCUGUGAUGUGCCGCGAGAGGUGGCGCAGCAGCAGCGGGGGAGGGGGAGGGGGGAGGAUGCGGCGGGCACGCGCGAGAGCGGAGCUGAUGCCAAACACUCGUAGUGCGCGUCUGACGCUGCGUGACUGAUACAAGACGACACGGAGCCGGGAAGACAUCCCGCGCCUCUUUGCUGACCACCCCGUGUGACCCCCCUCCAGCGCCUCUUGCCCGCUCAGCUGCCGCGGGCACUCCGCCUGCGUUGUGUGUGUGUGCGCGCGCGGUGGCGUCUCCGUGCUGUGUGCGUGUUUUCCGGAUGACGAGAGGAGAAGCAGCCGUGCGGCGUGCCACCGCUGGUGCUGCUGCUGCUGUGGCUGCGUGGAGUGCUAUGAUGAAAAACGUUUCCUUAACGACGAGCGGACCGACACGCACCCAUGCGGACAGUUCGAAUGUGUACAAAUGUUGAGCCUCCCGCCUCCCGCGCCCGUGCCAUCGCCGCUGCACCGUGCGCCUGCAUGCGUGCGCGUGUGCGGCGGGGGACACUGGACAACGACGUCUCUGUCUAACGGGGUGCGACGCUGCUCUGUCGGCGCACCUCGAUUUCAGGAGAUGGAGAUGACGCGGCUGCGGCGGUGGUGCGCGCUGUGCUCGCUGUCACCGCACCUGUCUCCCCCGCCCUCAAGUGCGCGAGGAGAACCGUAGCCGCUGCAACUCCGCUAGGUGAGAUGCCGCGGGUGAUACUUCUCCAAGAGCUCUGUCGCCACCGCCGCGCAUCCACGUCGCUGGGGCGUGUGCGCCUCUGUGCCUGUGUAUGCGUAUGCAUAUGCAUGUGUGUGUGUGCUUGUGUUUGUGUGCCAGCUGCGCUGCCGCGCAGGAUGAGAGACAUUCAACGGAUCCCAAUCAGAGCACUGUGCACUGAAACCCCGUCCUGAUGCUAAUCCGCAAAACAACGGCUGACGCGGCGACGCAGCCGGCCACGGGCACGUGCUGUGAUGUGCCGCGAGAGGUGGCGCAGCAGCAGCGGGGGAGGGGGAGGGGGGAGGAUGCGGCGGGCACGCGCGAGAGCGGAGCUGAUGCCAAACACUCGUAGUGCGCGUCUGACGCUGCGUGACUGAUACAAGACGACACGGAGCCGGGAAGACAUCCCGCGCCUCUUUGCUGACCACCCCGUGUGACCCCCCUCCAGCGCCUCUUGCCCGCUCAGCUGCCGCGGGCACUCCGCCUGCGUUGUGUGUGUGUGCGCGCGCGGUGGCGUCUCCGUGCUGUGUGCCUGUUUUCCGGAUGACGAGAGGAGAAGCAGCCGUGCGGCGUGCCACCGCUGGUGCUGCUGCUGCUGUGGCUGCGUGGAGUGCUAUGAUGAAAAACGUUUCCUUAACGACGAGCGGACCGACACGCACCCAUGCGGACAGUUCGAAUGUGUACAAAUGUUGAGCCUCCCGCCUCCCGCGCCCGUGCCAUCGCCGCUGCACCGUGCGCCUGCAUGCGUGCGCGUGUGCGGCGGGGGACACUGGACAACGACGUCUCUGUCUAACGGGGUGCGACGCUGCUCUGUCGGCGCACCUCGAUUUCAGGAGAUGGAGAUGACGCGGCUGCGGCGGUGGUGCGCGCUGUGCUCGCUGUCACCGCACCUGUCUCCCCCGCCCUCAAGUGCGCGAGGAGAACCGUAGCCGCUGCAACUCCGCUAGGUGAGAUGCCGCGGGUGAUACUUCUCCAAGAGCUCUGUCGCCACCGCCGCGCAUCCACGUCGCUGGGGCGUGUGCGCCUCUGUGCCUGUGUAUGCGUAUGCAUAUGCAUGUGUGUGUGUGCUUGUGUUUGUGUGCCAGCUGCGCUGCCGCGCAGGAUGAGAGACAUUCAACGGAUCCCAAUCAGAGCACUGUGCACUGAAACCCCGUCCUGAUGCUAAUCCGCAAAACAACGGCUGACGCGGCGACGCAGCCGGCCACGGGCACGUGCUGUGAUGUGCCGCGAGAGGUGGCGCAGCAGCAGCGGGGGAGGGGGAGGGGGGAGGAUGCGGCGGGCACGCGCGAGAGCGGAGCUGAUGCCAAACACUCGUAGUGCGCGUCUGACGCUGCGUGACUGAUACAAGACGACACGGAGCCGGGAAGACAUCCCGCGCCUCUUUGCUGACCACCCCGUGUGACCCCCCUCCAGCGCCUCUUGCCCGCUCAGCUGCCGCGGGCACUCCGCCUGCGUUGUGUGUGUGUGCGCGCGCGGUGGCGUCUCCGUGCUGUGUGCCUGUUUUCCGGAUGACGAGAGGAGAAGCAGCCGUGCGGCGUGCCACCGCUGGUGCUGCUGCUGCUGUGGCUGCGUGGAGUGCUAUGAUGAAAAACGUUUCCUUAACGACGAGCGGACCGACACGCACCCAUGCGGACAGUUCGAAUGUGUACAAAUGUUGAGCCUCCCGCCUCCCGCGCCCGUGCCAUCGCCGCUGCACCGUGCGCCUGCAUGCGUGCGCGUGUGCGGCGGGGGACACUGGACAACGACGUCUCUGUCUAACGGGGUGCGACGCUGCUCUGUCGGCGCACCUCGAUUUCAGGAGAUGGAGAUGACGCGGCUGCGGCGGUGGUGCGCGCUGUGCUCGCUGUCACCGCACCUGUCUCCCCCGCCCUCAAGUGCGCGAGGAGAACCGUAGCCGCUGCAACUCCGCUAGGUGAGAUGCCGCGGGUGAUACUUCUCCAAGAGCUCUGUCGCCACCGCCGCGCAUCCACGUCGCUGGGGCGUGUGCGCCUCUGUGCCUGUGUAUGCGUAUGCAUAUGCAUGUGUGUGUGUGCUUGUGUUUGUGUGCCAGCUGCGCUGCCGCGCAGGAUGAGAGACAUUCAACGGAUCCCAAUCAGAGCACUGUGCACUGAAACCCCGUCCUGAUGCUAAUCCGCAAAACAACGGCUGACGCGGCGACGCAGCCGGCCACGGGCACGUGCUGUGAUGUGCCGCGAGAGGUGGCGCAGCAGCAGCGGGGGAGGGGGAGGGGGAGGAUGCGGCGGGCACGCGCGAGAGCGGAGCUGAUGCCAAACACUCGUAGUGCGCGUCUGACGCUGCGUGACUGAUACAAGACGACACGGAGCCGGGAAGACAUCCCGCGCCUCUUUGCUGACCACCCCGUGUGACCCCCCUCCAGCGCCUCUUGCCCGCUCAGCUGCCGCGGGCACUCCGCCUGCGUUGUGUGUGUGUGUGUGCGCGCGGUGGCGUCUCCGUGCUGUGUGCGUGUUUUCCGGAUGACGAGAGGAGAAGCAGCCGUGCGGCGUGCCACCGCUGGUGCUGCUGCUGCUGUGGCUGCGUGGAGUGCUAUGAUGAAAAACGUUUCCUUAACGACGAGCGGACCGACACGCACCCAUGCGGACAGUUCGAAUGUGUACAAAUGUUGAGCCUCCCGCCUCCCGCGCCCGUGCCAUCGCCGCUGCACCGUGCGCCUGCAUGCGUGCGCGUGUGCGGCGGGGGACACUGGACAACGACGUCUCUGUCUAACGGGGUGCGACGCUGCUCUGUCGGCGCACCUCGAUUUCAGGAGAUGGAGAUGACGCGGCUGCGGCGGUGGUGCGCGCUGUGCUCGCUGUCACCGCACCUGUCUCCCCCGCCCUCAAGUGCGCGAGGAGAACCGUAGCCGCUGCAACUCCGCUAGGUGAGAUGCCGCGGGUGAUACUUCUCCAAGAGCUCUGUCGCCACCGCCGCGCAUCCACGUCGCUGGGGCGUGUGCGCCUCUGUGCCUGUGUAUGCGUAUGCAUAUGCAUGUGUGUGUGUGCUUGUGUUUGUGUGCCAGCUGCGCUGCCGCGCAGGAUGAGAGACAUUCAACGGAUCCCAAUCAGAGCACUGUGCACUGAAACCCCGUCCUGAUGCUAAUCCGCAAAACAACGGCUGACGCGGCGACGCAGCCGGCCACGGGCACGUGCUGUGAUGUGCCGCGAGAGGUGGCGCAGCAGCAGCGGGGGAGGGGAGGGGGGAGGAUGCGGCGGGCACGCGCGAGAGCGGAGCUGAUGCCAAACACUCGUAGUGCGCGUCUGACGCUGCGUGACUGAUACAAGACGACACGGAGCCGGGAAGACAUCCCGCGCCUCUUUGCUGACCACCCCGUGUGACCCCCCUCCAGCGCCUCUUGCCCGCUCAGCUGCCGCGGGCACUCCGCCUGCGUUGUGUGUGUGUGCGCGCGCGGUGGCGUCUCCGUGCUGUGUGCGUGUUUUCCGGAUGACGAGAGGAGAAGCAGCCGUGCGGCGUGCCACCGCUGGUGCUGCUGCUGCUGUGGCUGCGUGGAGUGCUAUGAUGAAAAACGUUUCCUUAACGACGAGCGGACCGACACGCACCCAUGCGGACAGUUCGAAUGUGUACAAAUGUUGAGCCUCCCGCCUCCCGCGCCCGUGCCAUCGCCGCUGCACCGUGCGCCUGCAUGCGUGCGCGUGUGCGGCGGGGGACACUGGACAACGACGUCUCUGUCUAACGGGGUGCGACGCUGCUCUGUCGGCGCACCUCGAUUUCAGGAGAUGGAGAUGACGCGGCUGCGGCGGUGGUGCGCGCUGUGCUCGCUGUCACCGCACCUGUCUCCCCCGCCCUCAAGUGCGCGAGGAGAACCGUAGCCGCUGCAACUCCGCUAGGUGAGAUGCCGCGGGUGAUACUUCUCCAAGAGCUCUGUCGCCACCGCCGCGCAUCCACGUCGCUGGGGCGUGUGCGCCUCUGUGCCUGUGUAUGCGUAUGCAUAUGCAUGUGUGUGUGUGCUUGUGUUUGUGUGCCAGCUGCGCUGCCGCGCAGGAUGAGAGACAUUCAACGGAUCCCAAUCAGAGCACUGUGCACUGAAACCCCGUCCUGAUGCUAAUCCGCAAAACAACGGCUGACGCGGCGACGCAGCCGGCCACGGGCACGUGCUGUGAUGUGCCGCGAGAGGUGGCGCAGCAGCAGCGGGGGAGGGGGAGGGGGGAGGAUGCGGCGGGCACGCGCGAGAGCGGAGCUGAUGCCAAACACUCGUAGUGCGCGUCUGACGCUGCGUGACUGAUACAAGACGACACGGAGCCGGGAAGACAUCCCGCGCCUCUUUGCUGACCACCCCGUGUGACCCCCCUCCAGCGCCUCUUGCCCGCUCAGCUGCCGCGGGCACUCCGCCUGCGUUGUGUGUGUGUGCGCGCGCGGUGGCGUCUCCGUGCUGUGUGCCUGUUUUCCGGAUGACGAGAGGAGAAGCAGCCGUGCGGCGUGCCACCGCUGGUGCUGCUGCUGCUGUGGCUGCGUGGAGUGCUAUGAUGAAAAACGUUUCCUUAACGACGAGCGGACCGACACGCACCCAUGCGGACAGUUCGAAUGUGUACAAAUGUUGAGCCUCCCGCCUCCCGCGCCCGUGCCAUCGCCGCUGCACCGUGCGCCUGCAUGCGUGCGCGUGUGCGUGUGUGUGUACUUGUGUGUGGCUGCCUGCCGUUAGCGGAUGUGAUCGUAUUCGGAUGCAGCUGCGACAGGUGCAGGCUAGACAAAGAACAGGAGGUGCCGCACGGAUGUGGAUGUGAGAGAGGGAUUGGCUGCGCUUUCACGAGACUUAGCCUUUGUGGGAGCACUCGAGUAUGGGCGCCUGCUCUGCCGUUUCUGCUGUGCAUGCUGUUGGCUUUACGGCGCUCACAGAUUCGGUAGAGAGGCAUCGGCACAGUGAGUGGGACAAUCAAAGGUGGUGGCGCUGCACAGUUUCGCUUCGGCGGCCCUUGCAUGCGCACUCUCGUGUUCCCGUUGAGUUGCCGUCUUACUUCCUGCAACGUUUGUGACGAUUGUUUUUUGAUCG